GAGUUCAGAAGUCUUCUGGAAAGUGCACCACCAUUUCUAGAUUGUGGCUCAUAUGCCAAUGGUUACAUAACAUGCAAAAGGUUAAAUAUUUGCUGUUUUUUAGCAAACUAAUUGACACAGCUAGGAUAUGAGGUAAUAUCCAGGAAUUCCAGGGGAGGACAAAGUGUCCUGCGAACUUGAAAAUUCAACAUUGCCCGAGGAAUCCUGCAGUCAUCUCUUCACUUCCCAGAACCAGAGAUGACUCUUGAACCCUGUAACUGUGAUAGUCAAAUAUAACACAGAACAUCUUAAAAAAAAAAAACCUAGAACAAAAGAGGGUCUGCUGUCCUGCUAGACUCAAAGAUCCCCAGCAUAAAGCCAGAGAUGUUUCAAAAGUCAAGAUCUUUCAAGAAGGAAAAUUUUACCUGCUCAAUAAUGACUUCCCUGGUGAUGUGACUGAAUCAGGACCCAAAGAUGCCAAAAAAUACUCUUAGCUCUCCCUCUUGGCUCCAAGCACCACCAUGCUAAGGUAGGGCUU